rnacentral:sRNA from 1 species
AUUCACUUGUAUCUCAGCCAGCCAGUAAUUUUUACCUGAGUUUUAAUGUAAAAAUCAUAUAUUUUUAAUAUCUGUGUACAUUGUUCUAUUUAAUAUAAAUGGUCAGUGUAAUUUAUGUACAUAUCCUGUUUAUGAAGAUGUUGUAUCAAUAGCAGCUUAAGAAAAAUGAAUGCUUUUUAAUACAAUCAUAAGCAAGUUUUCACUUUAUUUUCAAUAUUUUUGUGUAAUGAGUUGUUUUAAAGUUCUUUAAUGGUGGGUUAAAUAUCAUCUGUAAUGAUUGGACUUGCAAUGUUACAUAACCUAACAUUUACACAUUUCAAAUUAUAACCCUGGCCUUCUCCUGGAUUUUCAAUUUUUAGGGGUGUGGGCUGGGGGUUAUAGUUGAAUACAGGAUAGAAGAAUGUCCUCUGCUGAGAGAUAGCUUCAACAAGGGGAUCUUGUCCAGGAGUUGGCCAAUUAUUCUGGGUUUACCAUCAAAACAUGCUCUUCCAGUAAACAUUGGUACUACGUGUACAUAGAACAUGAAGGCAUGUUUCUCACCAGUGUAUCAGUUUGUGUAAAUAUCUCAUGCCAUGAGUCAGGACUACAACUUUAUUUCCUUUGCUCUUUUAUUGUUUGAUAAGUUUGCUUUCUUCCUGAACCACCAAUAGUUGUAGGAUCAAAACCACUGCUAUUCUGUAGUGUGGGUGUGUGUCUGGUAUUAUAUGUAGUGUGAAAAUAAACUAUAUAAAGU